CGCUCUCGCCGUUCCUGUCUGCAGAAGCCAUGGCGGGCAGGGGGCGGGACGGCUGGAAAAGAGACGGGGGCACAGGCCAGUGCUCAGUCCACUGAGCCACAGCAGCCAGCGCCAGAAGCUGUUUCUAACCUGACUCCAGACCCUAAACCACGUGGCAGAGACUGAAUCUGGCUGAGCGAACACGGCAAGAAGGUCUGUGUCUGUCCCCACCUCCCCACCUCAGUCCAUUUCUGGUCUCAGCUCGGGCAGGGGAGCACACCCAGAGAGGGGCAGGGGGACAAAGGGCGGGGCUGCAGGGAUCCUGGCUGCCAGGCGGCGAGCCCGGCCUUUGUCCCUGUGGCAGGGCUCAGGGGAGGACAAGGCGGCCAGGGAGCAAGCUGGCAACCGGGCCACUAACAGCCCCCACACUGCCCGGCUCUCAGAGGAGGCCCUGGGCUGGGGGGAGGAAGUGGCGGCCCAAACUGGAAAGCCACCUGUCCCUGCUGCUCGUGGCCGCCCGGUUCCCUUUUCAAAGGGAACUGAGACUGCCACGUGCCCGGCGCUUUUUUACUUUUCGUGGAGGAAAACAUUCCAUCUUACUGUAAGAGUGGUAUCAGGGCACUUUUCCAUCCAAAUUUCUGAGGGAUAAAUAAGGAGGCGGCCAAAUAGGGUACAUGUUCAUUGAAAGAAAGAAAGACUCCGAAGACCAGAGGAAGCAGACCGCGAACUCCUGGCCACCGGUCCCCCGGGAAGGAGCUGCGUGCCUGUCCUUCCAGAUGCCCCUCUGCACCUGGGACAGGACCCGGGGACCUACUUCCCACACUCACAGCUCUUCUUCUACGGCGUGCACACCUCCCCGCCCACAGGCACAGGCAGAUCCACCCCAUCCUGCCCGGUGAUGGUCGCACUGAGUGACCGGGCCGCAGCGGGGGGAGGUCCCCUGGGCUGAGUCCGGCACGUCAGACCCUCGCACACAGCACCUACCAGAGGCACCAUCUUCUGUCACCUGAAGCAUCACAGCGGCCUCCAGACUCAUCGACCUGCUGCCCUUGGGCCCCCACCCCAUGACCAUUCUCCACUCGGCAGCCAAAACUGCCUUUUAACAGCACAAAUCACACCAUGUCACUCUCUGCUCACACCUAAAAUCAAGUCCUGACUCUCACUGGGAGCUCAGGGCCCUGCGUGGCUCUGUCUCCUCCUUGCUCACCCAUCUGUGGGCCCCUCACCAUCUCUCACCUGCCCAGCUCUGCAGGAGGUGCUGGGGGGCGGGGUCAAAAGCACAGACUGGCACUUGCGGCCGGGGCCUGCCCCACACAGGGGCCUGCACUUGACCUUGGCCACCACAUCCUCACCCCAAUGGGGGGAGUAACCUCCUGCCUCCUGAGCAUUGAAUGAGUGGACGUGACAGACACAUGCAGCGCGUCCUCACUGAGCCUGUUCCGGAAUGUCCGCGGUGGUGCCUCCGUCAGGCCCAAAGGGGGACACGGCCCACGUGGGCACAGGAAACUCAAGGCCCCCCAACCCUGGGGCACUAGCAGGAGUGGAGUGCCUUGGGGGUUGUGCCCAGAGCCACACAGAGACCACAAGCAACAGGAGUCCCUUCAGAGAAAAGCCCCAAGAGGCCGAUCUAGAGACAGAAAGAUGAGUCCAGGCUCGGGGCAGCAGGGAGGAUGUGGGUUACAUUCGAGGGGAUGAAAAUGUCCCAGAGCUGACUCUGCCGACGGUCCUACCCACCAGCGAUGAACCAGCACCCACUGGAUGGCACAUUCUUUUAAAGGGAUGAACUUUAUGUGAAUCACAUCUCAGUAACGCUGUCCAUAACAUGUCUCAAGGCCUGGCUGGUGCGGCUCAGUAGAUUGGACACCAGCGUGUGAACCAAAGGGUCACUGGUUCGGUUCCCAGUCAGGGCACAUGCCUGGGUUGCCCUCCAGGUCCACAGUACAGGGUGUGCGAGAGGCAACUACACAGUGAUAUUUUGCUCUCUCUCCCUCCCUUCCCCUCUC